rnacentral:rRNA from 1 species
UGGCUCAGAUUGAACGCUGGCGGCAGGCCUAAGACAUGCAAGUCGAGCGGUAGAGAGAAGCUUGCUUCUCUUGAGAGCGGCGGACGGGUGAGUAAUGCCUAGGAAUCUGCCUGGUAGUGGGGGAUAACGUUCGGAAACGGACGCUAAUACCGCAUACGUCCUACGGGAGAAAGCAGGGGACCUUCGGGCCUUGCGCUAUCAGAUGAGCCUAGGUCGGAUUAGCUAGUUGGUGGGGUAAUGGCUCACCAAGGCGACGAUCCGUAACUGGUCUGAGAGGAUGAUCAGUCACACUGGAACUGAGACACGGUCCAGACUCCUACGGGAGGCAGCAGUGGGGAAUAUUGGACAAUGGGCGAAAGCCUGAUCCAGCCAUGCCGCGUGUGUGAAGAAGGUCUUCGGAUUGUAAAGCACUUUAAGUUGGGAGGAAGGGUUGUAGAUUAAUACUCUGCAAUUUUGACGUUACCGACAGAAUAAGCACCGGCUAACU